UACGAAGGGGGCUAGCGUUGCUCGGAUUGACUGGGCGUAAAGGGCGCGUAGGCGGUUCGUACAGUCAGACGUGAAAUUCCUGGGCCCAACCUGGGGGCUGCGUUUGAUACGUGCGGACUUGAGUGCGGAAGAGGGUCGUGGAAUUCCCAGUGUAGAGGUGAAAUUCGUAGAUAUUGGGAAGAACACCGGUGGCGAAGGCGGCGACCUGGUCCGAUACUGACGCUGAGGCGCGAAAGCGUGGGGAGCAAACAGG
rnacentral:rRNA from 1 species